CACGUAGGGCGCAAGCGUUGUCCGGAAUUAUUGGGCGUAAAGAGCUCGUAGGCGGUCUGUUGCGUCUGCUGUGAAAACUCGGGGCUUAACUCCGGGCCUGCAGUGGGUACGGGCAGACUAGAGUGCGGUAGGGGAGACUGGAAUUCCUGGUGUAGCGGUGAAAUGCGCAGAUAUCAGGAGGAACACCGAUGGCGAAGGCAGGUCUCUGGGCCACUACUGACGCUGAGAAGCGAAAGCAUGGGGAGCGAACAGG
rnacentral:rRNA from 1 species